GCCCGUGUAGUCUAAUGGUUAUGACGUCACUUUCCGGUCUGCUGCAUCGACCGUCCGUUAGGUGGAAGUUGGGGGUUCGAGUCCCUCCUCGGGUU
rfam:Fistulina hepatica ATCC 64428 unplaced genomic scaffold FISHEscaffold_50, whole genome shotgun sequence.